rnacentral:lncRNA from 1 species
CGCAAACUUCCCGUCAGUCCCGUCAACACGUUUGGCGUAAAAUAUGUUUGAGUUCAACAUUAGAACCGAGGACACUCUGGUAUUGACGGCAAUGCUCUGCAUUUCUUUUCAUCCCCAUCUCUUUCUCAUCUGUCCACCCCCCCACCCUCUCUCUCUCCCUCUCUCUAUCCUCAAAUUCUCAAACGCUGAAUCAGCUGCUUGGGAAUGGACGCUCCCCCUGCAUCUUGGAUGCACAAGCUGCCUCUCCCCGGUUCUGCUCUCGUCCUGCAUUUGAGACUCUGGUCUCCCCCUAAAAUGCUUUGCUAAAGCUGGUAAAAUGGAACCAAAUCAACUGUUUUAUGGAUUUGGUCCCCUUCAACCAGCUGUAGCUGUGCAUUGAUCACCCCGUGGAGCUCUGAUGAAGAAAGCACAAUAUUUGCUCUGUCUGGAUCACAACGCAAGACCGACUGUUGAAUGAAUGUCCCUUUAAGCACUAAUAUCAUGAUUAAACACUCUUUGUCCUCUUAAGACCCAGGUGAGUAUUAUAUAUGUCAUGUCACAUUUUUUAUUUAUGAGCUAUAAUUGUUGAUUAUGUAUUCGAGCCAAAUCACUAUCAUUGGAAAGAGGGCUCUGGGCUCUUUAUGGCCUGCCAUUGAUUUCUUGUCUCUGGGCUGAAAGAGUGAGAGCGCGGGAUGAGCCAGGUUGGAUGGAUGUAGGGAACGAGGGAGGGGUGUGUGCGUGCGUGUGCGUGUCAAAGCUGUUGAAUAAGUAAAACAGUCGUUCCUUUUCUCUCUCUCUCUCUUGCUUCUACACUUGUCGUGAUUCUUAAUGCACAUGCUUGAUCAAUAAAGCUCAUCCUGAAGUU